GUGAGCCGUGUGAUGGGAAACCUUCCCGCACGGUUCGGAGAGCACUGAAGACGAAUGAGAGGUUCACCACCACAUCAUUGCAAGGGGAGCUCGCUCAAUUCACAGAUUGGCCUGACUCGUAAUUCACUUUUGACUCUGU
rnacentral:ncRNA from 1 species